CCCACGCCAUCGCGCAUCCCCCAGACGCCGCCUCCCUCCUCGCGGCCCGCAUCCACCUCGCGACACCGCCUCCCCGCGAGUCCGCGACCCCGCCGUGACCCCAGCCUCGACGGCGUGCUGCCGGUUCUCACGCGCCCCACCGUAGAGCGCGGUGGCGGCGCCCUUCUUCCCGCGCACGCCGCCGGCCUCGAGGAGGGAGACCAGCAGCAGGACGGCUCCCGCGCAGCCGAUGGCAGCCGUGGUGGCGCCGUCGAGCUGGGCCACCACCCUCGCCUUCGAUCCCUCUGCGCCGCGGAUCGGCCACCGAGCCUGUUCUCCGCGCCGACGCCGAGCGCCCGGCCGCCGAACCAGCACCCUCAUCCUCCCUCUGCGCACGGCCGCCGAGCCUGCUUUCCGCGCCCGGCCGCCGAACCACUAUCCUCGUCGUCCCUCUGCGCCGCGGAUCGCCACCCAGCCCGUCCUCUGCUUCCGCAUUGGAUCCCUCGCGACGUGACGCCGAGCGUCGCCGCGUCCGGGCGCCGAGCCAGUGUACGCACCGACGCCGAGCGUCUUCCCCUUCCGUGAUUGCAGCCGACGGCCACGAGGAAGAGGUUGGCCUUCCGUGAUUGCAGUCGGCGGCCUUUCGUGAUUUUCUUCUAUAGACCAUCGUGAUUUCCUUGGUUUCCUUGAUCCAGCCCGCCGGUGGCCGCCCCAUCCGCCUUCUCCCCUCGAGCUGAAGCAAUUAUAUACGGCGGGUGGGCGUACCGGCCGGCACAGCUGUGGUUCCUCUGCCAAAUCCGCGCGCGGGGAGGUUGUGACCGGCAUGGGAGCUCCCCGCGUCCCCCCGCCUCCGCGGAGGCCGAACCGCAGCAGGCAAGUUGUUUCCCUCCGUGCUUGCCCAUUUAUGCUUUUCCGUUUGGCUGGAGCCGGAAGUGAGUUGUUAACUCGUAAGCUUUUCGAGUGAAUGCGCAGGAGAAGGUUGCCAAGGCAGGCGGGACCAGUGAUAAGGAGGAGGUCGGGCGGGCCACGUGGAUGCUGCUACGCACCAUUGCAACUCAGGUGCUCGAUCUUUUGCCUCUGUACUGCUAAUCCACGGACGACAGGGAUCUUGGUUUGUCCGGAAGACCGCUCUAGACGCCGUCACUGUCGGCGAUCGGUCAUUCGCGGUUGAUGGCAUCCUCGAAGAUAGGGCCUGGCAGGCCGAUUCGUU